GGACCCGGCUCGCGCGGGUCCACUAGGCGGGAGGCGGCGCGGCGCGGCCCGGCUUAGCUGCGCCUCCUCCCUGCCGCCCACCCGGCGAAGACGCGAGAAGGAAAAAAAAAAUUAUGGAAACUUGAAAAGUCAGAAGGGCAGUUAUAAGACACAUCAACUAUUAUUUGAUGGGCAUUUACAACGUCCUUUGGCUACUAUAAAGCUGCUACCCACCAGCAAAACUACAUCAGUUGUUAAAAUAUUAAACAACUUCUAUACCAAUCAGCAAAUAGCCAUCACCUUCCAAAUGGCCUUACCUUGGCUCACGCAGACAUUUCAGCCUCUCCCAAACACCAUUCGCUUGCUCAUUUUCCAACCAUUAAAGAGUUAAUGUCCAACAUACCAACAGGCCUUUAGAGUCUUCCCCUUGCUCAGAGCCCUGGCCAUUGUCAGUUCUGACUGGUUAGUAGCUAUUAUGUAGAUAUUGUUAAACCUUUU
ensembl:lncRNA